rnacentral:rRNA from 1 species
GACGAACGCUGGCGGCGUGCUUAACACAUGCAAGUCGAACGGAAAGGCCUCUUUCGGGGGGUACUCGAGUGUCGAACGGGGGUGUAAAACGUGAGUAACCUCCCCUUGACUUUGGGGUAACUCCAGGAAACUGGGGCUAUUACCGGAUAGGGGCUCCUCUUCCGUGGUGGGGGUUGGAAAGUUUCGGGGGUUGGGGAUGGGCUCGCGGCGUAUCUCCUUUUUGGGGGGGUAGUGGCUUAACAAGGCUUUGACGGGUAGCCGGCCUGGGAGGGUGACCGGCCACAUUGGGACUGGGAAACGGGCCAGACUCCUACGGGAGGCAGGAGUGGGGAAUAUUGCACAAUGGGUGGGAGCCUGAUGCAGCAACGGCGUGUGCGGGAUGACGGCCUUCGGGUUGUAAACCGCUUUCGCUCAUGACGAAGCUGUGAGUGACGGUAGUGGGUAAAGAAGCACCGGCUAACUACGUG